rnacentral:tRNA from 1 species
UGGCCGGUCGUCUAAGGGUAGGACUCUUGGUUUUGGUCCAAGUAGUGGGGGUUCGAAUCCUCCCCGGCCAGCCA